UACGGAGGGUGCGAGCGUUGUCCGGAAUCACUGGGCGUAAAGGGCGCGUAGGUGGCGCGGGCAGUCAACGGUGAAAGUUCGGGGCUCAACCCUGAAUCGGCCGUCGAUACUCCCGGGCUUGAGCACUGUAGAGGCAGAUGGAAUUCCGGGUGUAGCGGUGGAAUGCGUAGAGAUCCGGAAGAACACCGGUGGCGAAGGCGGUCUGCUGGGCAGUGGCUGACACUGAGGCGCGACAGCGUGGGGAGCGAACAGG
rnacentral:rRNA from 1 species